CUCUGCCUUAAGGAAAUAAACAAGAGCGCGAUGAGAACUUGAAGUUGGUGCCAGUUGUCAGGGAAGCCGCAGUGGUAACCUGUACUUUGAAGUUGGACUCGGACCUAUUUUUACAUGCCCAGGCGGGAGACAAACCUCAAAGCAGGUGCUGACCCAGGCAGCCCCAGGCAGCUAACUCUGCUUAGAUCCACUGUGUGGUGGCUCCCACGAGUGACUCCACAGUAUAGAAAGAAGGUCCCCACACUGGGCCACCAGCCCUCUCUGUGCAGGGGUCAGCCAGAAAUUAGUGUCAGUGAGACAUCACAGGAAGGGUGUUGGAAACAUCCAGAAACAGGAAGUAGGUAUCUUAUUUGUCA
rnacentral:lncRNA from 1 species